rnacentral:tRNA from 1 species
GCGAGUGUGGUGGAACUGGUAGACACGCUAUCUUGAGGGGGUAGUGACUCCUGGUCGUACGGGUUCAAAUCCCGUCAUUCGCACCA